GACCAAAGAGGGGGACCUUCGGGCCUCUUGCCUCGGAUGUGCCCAGAUGGGAUUAGCUAGUAGGUGGGGUAACGGCUCACCUAGGCGACGAUCCCUAGCUGGUCUGAGAGGAUGACCAGCCACACUGGAACUGAGACACGGUCCAGACUCCUACGGGAGGCAGCAGUGGGGAAUAUUGCACAAUGGGCGCAAGCCUGAUGCAGCCAUGCCGCGUGUAUGAAGAAGGCCUUCGGGUUGUAAAGUACUUUCAGCGAGGAGGAAGGUGUU
rnacentral:rRNA from 1 species